GCCAGGUGUGGUGGCAUGCACCUGUAGUCUCAGCUGCUUGAGAGGCUGAGGCGGGAAGAUUGCUUGAGCCCAGGAGGUUGAGACUGCAGUGAGUUUGUUUGUACCACUGCACUCUAGCCUGGGCGACAGAGCAAGCCUCCGUCUCAA
rnacentral:SRP_RNA from 1 species